UGUUGUAUCAACAACUUCCUGUACAUUCAGUGAGCGAUGUCUUAGAAACAUAAACAUAAUUACUAAAUUCGGUAAAAUGGACAACCGUUGUUAUUGUUGUUCAUCAAAGUUCACUCUCUUCAGGAAGGUUUGUUUGUGCCCCCUUACCCUACUCCCUUUACGUUUUUGUAGUUGGAUAUUUUUAUUCCAUGUGUAACUGUGUUCUCGUAUGUGUCGAACUGCUUUGCUUUAUCUUGGCCAGGUCCCAGUUGUAAAUGAGAACUUGUUCUCAACUAGCCUACCUGGUUAAAUAAAGGUGUAAAAUAUAUAUAUAUAUAUAUAUUUUAAAUGCUACAUGCUUUAUGUCCCUACCAGCCUAUGGUGUAUUUCUUUGUAGGCUGUAGCCUUGAAAUAAUAUAUCCUAAAUAAUUCAUUUUCAUUAUUUAUCAGGCUCCCUGUCUGGCUCCUGACCUAUUUAGAGUGUUUAUAUGCUGUUUAAUAUGACAUGUAGCCUAUUUGAAAUUAUGUUUGCUUCAUACGUUCACCUUUUCAAUGUUUAUUCAACUACUUUUCAUUCAAAUCCAUAUGGUUUGGUUUCAAUACUUCAAAAUCAAUUGGUAGGUCCAGGUAGUCACAAAAAUAGAUGGGUGUUGGUUAAAUUGUGAUUUUCAAUGAAUGAAUGGAGUUUUUUUCCCCCUGUGCGCCUGGAGUGGUUUUUAGUGGAGCAGUAGGAAAGGACAUAGAUUGCCGGAGCCGUGAACAAGCACCAUUCCAUGAGCUAUGUAUGAGCAGGACUUUCAACCACUCAACUCCGCUCACAUACUCUGGUGGGGAUGCAUCCCAACCUAAUUUUAGAUAGUGCUACUUUUCAUAACCACAAGAGGCUGCUGUUUUUAACUCAUUCCCAGCUCACGGAAUAAGCUGCAUUGAGGCCAGUGGCUACAACAUACCUCCUGAGCACAGUGGUGCAAAAAACACAGAAAUGACAGCUGCCCACAAGAAACAGACACCAGUUCUAUCGUGUUCAUCAUCGAGGACCCCAGCAGCUGCCCUGGCCAGUCAGGCUUCAGACAGUGAUGAGGAUGAGCUUCCCUGGUGCUGCAUCUGUAAUCAGGAGACCUCCAUCCGCUGUCACACCUGUGAUGGGGAUCUUUUACUGCAACCGCUGCUUCAGGGAGUGCCAUGAUAUGUAUGACAGGAAAGAGCACCACACAGCUACAGUAGUUACACGGCACCUAAGAAAAACAAAAGGACGACGACGUGAGACUGCAGGGGCUGGCAUCAGUGUUUCUUGGAGUCACUCUAAAAGAUGUGUCCUAUACCUUUUAAGAGGCUGGACAGUAUUCUUGGAAUUCUGCAGGAUCACAAAGAGAAGGCUUAUCCAAACACUACUACCUGUCUUUAGGGUUGAAAAAUUCCAGUAACUUUCCCAAAGUGCCCUGGUUUUCCAGAAAUCCUGGUUGGGAGAUUGCUGGAAUUAUGAGGGAAUAAGCAGGUGUGUAAAGUCCUUAAGUAAAAAAAAAUAGUUUAAAAGUACUACUUAAGUAGUUUUUUGGGGUAUCUGUACUGUACUUUACUAUUUAUAUUUUUGACAACUUUUUCUUCACUACAUUCCUAAAGAAAAUAAUGUACUUUUUACUCCAUACAUUUUCCCUGACACCCAAAAGUACUUUUUAUUUUACUGGAUGACAUUCACUUGUACUUGAGACAUUUUCUAUUAAAGUACAUUUACUAGGGAUAUGACAUCAUUGGCCAAUAUCAGAUAUUUCCUUGCCAAAAAAACGAUACCGAUAACCAAUGUUUAACAUUUUAGUGGCCAUUUAAGCAUUCUAGUGCAGUUAAAUAGUUGAAACACUCACACACACUGACCAAAAAGUUAUUUUGUUGGCAUUUACGUAUGUCCCCAUUACCUGUAAAACCUCAUCAAAACCUAUUUCUUUCACUUACUUGCUGUGCUGUUUCCUUGUCCAUUUGUUCAGUCUGAACCAGGAUUUCAUCAUACAUGUCAAGCAGUGAAGUUUCAGCUCUGUCUGUCUGUGGCCUCUCUUCCUCGGUGUGCACUGUCACUGAGUCCGUUUCCAUCUUGUCCAGCUGUGUCUUUAACAUUUCACGUAAACCCUGUUUCUUGUCUGCAUCGAAGUAGCGGUCCUUGUACCUAGCAUCUAGCAUGGUGGCAACACAGUAGAGGCUCAGAGAGAAUGUCACCGAAUCGCUUGUUCACAGCCUCUAGUAGAGUACUUUUCCAAGUUACCCCAACGGUCUGUGUUGGCAUUUUUGUUGAGCAGGCGUUUCAAUGCCUUGACAGGGUAUCACGUCUGCUGCAGACGCAGUUGAGCUUAUUUCUCGAUUCAGUUGUUUGAAUGGAGUUAAGAGUGUUCAUGUUUCCAAGUGUCAAACAUGUUCUCAAAUGCCAUUGAAAUGGCAGCAGUGGUAUGAGAACCAGCACAUUCUUGAGCAUGCAAUACGGCUUUCCUCAAUACGAAAUCCUCGUCGACCCACUGUGCUGUCAGACUCCUAAUGCUAAUGGGGCCGACAUCGCUGGUCCAAAUGUCAGUCGUGAAGCCAAUAGCAGUGACGCCCAUAGAUGUGAGUUUCAACAAUACUGUUUAACUCCGGUAGUGUAACAUCUGAAAAAUAGCAGCUACUUGGUAGUGUGUAACAGUGCUCGACCAGUCGGCGAAAGCCAACAUCAUCAACGACAGAACGGUUGAUUGUCAAGGGCAAUGAAUUCCAUUAUCUUGGCGUUAAUGGAUUUCGCCUUUGAGGUGUCUCGCUGAAAUUUUCUUACUCUUUCAAAUGACUGCUCGACUUGAUGACUGCUCGAUACACACAGCAGACAUUGUGGGCUAGGUUAGGAAUGCUGUGUGGCGCUAUAUUUUUUUGUGGCGGCAUUACGUCAUCUACCUGAGUUACAUAGGUAUGCAGGUCAGCUUUGACAUCGGUUUUGCACAUCGGCGUUAAACUAGACAUCGAGCCGAUGUUGUCAUUUUUAGCUAAUAUCGGUCGAUUCCAAUAUGCUUACCGAUAUAUCGUGCAUCCCUAAUCUUUACUUUUACUUAAGUAUGACAAUUGGGUACGUUUACCGCCACUGGUAAUAAGAAUUAAAUCCGGUAAUCCUCGUAAAACCAGGGAACUUUUGGAAAGUUACAAGAAUUUUGCAACCCUGCAGUGCAUUCGGAAAGUAUUCAGACCCCUUCCAUUUUUCCAAGUUUUGUUACAGCCUUAUUCUAAAAUGGAUUAAUAAAAAAAAUGUCCUCAUCAAUCUACACACAAUAGCCCAUAAUGACAAAAUGAAAACAGGUUUGUAGAAAUGUUACCUAAUUUAUUCACUAAAUUCAGUAAAUUAGGUAACUAAAAAACAGAAAUACCAUAUUUACAUAAUUAUUCAGGUGCUUUGCCUAUGAGACUUGAAAUUGAGCUCAGGUGCAUCCUGUUUCCAUUGAUCAUCCUUGAGAUGUUUCUACAAUUUCAUUAGAGUUCACUUGUGGUAAAUUCAAUUGAUUGGAGAUUAUUUGGAAAGGCACAUAUAAGGUCCCACAGUUGACAGUGCAUGUUAGAGCAAAAACCACGCAUUGAGGUCUAAGGAAUUGUCCGUAGAGCUCCGAGACAGAAUUGUGUCGAGGCACAGAUUUGGGGAAGAGUACCAAAACAUUUCUGCAGCAUUGAAGGUCCCCAUGAACACAGUGGCUUCCAUCAUUCUUAAAUGGAAGAAGUUUGAAACAACCAACUCUUCCUAGAGCUGUUUGCCCAGCCAAACUGUCAUUAUGGGGUAUUGUGUGUAGAUUGAUGAGGGGAAAAAAUACAAUUAAUUUUAGAAUAAGGCUGUAACGUAACAAAAUUUGGAAAAUUCGAGGGGUCUGAAUACUUUACAAAUGCAUUGUACCUGUCUUACAAAAAGACUAAGAAGAAACCCUGAUUAUGUUGCUAAUCUAGUGAAAUACAUAGUAAUCUGUCAAGUGUAGUUAUAGAUUUCUUCUAAAUGGCUAUACUAUGAGUAACAUUAUGGGGUUUCAUUAGCAUAAUUUAAUGCUUGCGAUUGGCUACAUAACUGUGUUGUAGAUUCACUUGACAUUCACAGAUCAGUAAUCCAAUCAGUCAAUUACUUGUGGACUGUAUUGCCAGUAUUGAUUUACAUUUAAUUUGUGAGGUUAGUCUAAUUUACUCUCACAAAAUGUUUAACAUUAUUGUAUUUUAGCAUUACCCAUCCUAACCAUUUUGGAUUUUGGUCCAAUGAAAUAAAGUAGUCUGGGCAAUUUGAUGUGCUACCUCAAUUGUAGCGCACUUGAAAUGGCUUGCAGAUUUCGUAUUAUAUUGUCAUGAUACUGAGAUAGAUGUUGAGUUGGUAACAACACAGACUCAUGCACGUUGCACAAACACAAUUUGCUUAUUUGGGAGGAUGUACGGUCCCAGACAACUCAGCUUCUCACUAGAGGCUCACAGAGGAGCCAGUAUAAAAGGAUUAGUGAAGGCUUUGUUUUAGUUUGUCAGGCUGCAUAGUCUGUGUUAUGAUCCGUCUUUGGCUGGGACUCUGACAUGAUUGUUGUUUUUCCUGUAGCUGUGUGUAAUGUAGAUCUAAGGGAUGUAAACAAUGUGUUUAUGAGAGUUUUUUUUAAAUUAUGUCCUGAUAGCUUUUUUGCAAUGUUCCCUACUUCUCACACCACUAAUAUCAUAACUAUAUAACACUGUCACUCUUUUGUCAUACCCCGCUAGGGGUUCUCCACUCAUACAUUAGGACAGCCACAGU